UUGUGAAAGUUAUCUGUUCCCCUACAGCACGCAGCAGACUCAGAAGUGAAUUAUUAAUGAAUGGAGAUUCGCAUUAUUAGCGAAUGCAGACUUUUCAUGUCAGAUGGCCUAGCAGAGAAGCAGGAACAGAGCUGGAAAGUUACCAAUGGAGGUAUCUACAAGUGCUCCAAAACAGACACACCACUACAAUUAUUAAGCCAAGUGUGCUCCUUUGCACAAUAUAAAAGAGAGAAAUGUUGAAAAUCCCAGGUUUUUCAAGCAUGUUUUAGGAUGAAGGCAUAAAAACAAAUCAGCUUCCACUCACGUAAGCCUACAGCUAUCUUUCUGCCAAGAAGAAUCUUGCUUCAUGAAGUUUGUGCCUUCUCUAAGCACUAUUCUAUCCAAAGAUUUCAGAGGAAGGAACCAGAGAGACAAGACUCAAACAGCUACUGCAGAAGGCAAAUAAAGAAAAGCUUCCACAGCUGUAACUUUAUAAACUGCAAAACUGCACAAGGUCUCUGUGUGAGGUAGCUUGCUUACUGCAUGUGCCAGGAGAAACAGCCACGAUUCCUGAUAUCUUGCUUUGGGAACAGUAAGAGGCCAGCUCCCCAGAGCUGAAAUCAUAGUAAGCACAUUGCCACAGUGCAGAAUUUUCCGUGCUGGGAAGGAAAUUCCAACCAUUUUUUAUGUAUAAGAGAAAAUAAUGUGAAAUGCCUCCAGCUUGCCAGAGAUGGGCCUUUCAAGGUCAGUAUCAGUACUUUUGUUGCCUCAUCAAGAGAAGCCUGAAAUGAUCAAGAUUCCUGUCUGUGUUCUUUUCAGGAGAUACAGAUAGCAUAAGAGUCUCUGAGAAAUACUAAUAUGUUCAAACAACCACUGUUCCUUCAAUUAUUUGCUCCUGUCCUUUUCUGCAUAAACUGCAGACAUUCAAGAGCAAAAAGCCUCCAGCUUUUGACAGAUGCUGCCAUAUAACUGACUUCAUCCAUCCAGCCAAUGCUGACUGUGACACUAUAAAGGAUCUACACAUAUUUUGUCAUUAAAUUUAUACAACUUUGUUGUUGUUGUUGCUUUUAUAAUAUGGAAAAUCUUAGGGACAAACUGCAGUGAUAUUUACAGAGCAGUUCCCUCUUCAUGUUUGCUGUAUGUAGCACUGAAUGACUCAGAGGAUGAGAGAAGUACAGUUGCACUUCAACAGAAAAGUUUCUGGGUUUGGGUGCUAGUGCUCUGCUAGCAGAAU